ACUGCUAUUCCACAGGUACAGCCU
rnacentral:siRNA from 1 species